GGGGUUGUGGCUCAGUAGCUGAGCAGCUGCUUGGCUUGCAGAAAGUCCCAUGGUUCAAUUCUUGGCACCUCCA
rnacentral:tRNA from 1 species